rnacentral:tRNA from 2 species
GGGCCUGUCUUCUAAAUGGACUAGGAAUCUCGGCUUUCAAUCGAGCAAUGCGGGUUCGAGCCCCGUCAGGCCUA